rnacentral:miRNA from 1 species
AGAAGCUAGGGAGGGGAUGCGAAGGCGAGAGAAAGAGAGCGAGGAAAAAUGGGAGGGGCGAGAAAGAAAUAGCUAUUUCUUUUUCGCCCCUCCCAUUUUUCCUCGCUCUCUUUCUCUCGCCUUCGCAUCCCCCCCCCCCUAGUUU